GCUCAGGAUGAACGCUAGCUACAGGCUUAACACAUGCAAGUCGAGGGGUGGCAGGGUAGCAAUACCGCUGACGACCGGCGCACGGGUGAGUAACACGUAUCCAACCUUCCCAUAACUCGGGGAUAGCCUUUCGAAAGAAAGAUUAAUACCCGAUAGUACUUUAUUAAGGCAUCUUAAGAAAGUUAAAGAUUUAUUGGUUAUGGAUGGGGAUGCGUUCCAUUAGAUAGUUGGUGAGGUAACGGCUCACCAAGUCUUCGAUGGAUAGGGGUUCUGAGAGGAAGGUCCCCCACAUUGGUACUGAGACACGGACCAA
rnacentral:rRNA from 1 species